CAGGCUCCAGAACCAGUGGGGGAGGAAGGAAGGAAGCAGCCAAGAUCCGGCCACAACAGCUUCUCCGGCUAUUUUUCUUUAUGGGUCAAGGCCCCUGAAAACCUGUACUAGGUCAGGCCUGCUUGUCCAGUGGCUCAGAUUUAAAGGACAUCUAGUUCUCUCUGAUUUUGGCCUCAAUAUGGCAGGAACCCUGCCAACGCUGGCCUUCCUGAGACAUUCCACUGGUUCUCCCCUACUCCUGGAUCACUGAGGGUGAUGGACGAUAACCAUCCUUUGGGGAGAUACAAGCCCACUUUGAUCAGGUACAAGCAAAUUGUAGCAUAACACCUUUGCUGGAUCCGUAUCAAGAAAUAGCUAUUGAUUUAAAGAACAAAACAACAAUACUAAGCUAUUCCUUUAACUCCGUGCUGCCUUGCCCACUGAAGGCUGUUGUGUGCUCUCGGGGUCUGUAGAACUGUGUUUUGGAGAAGGUACCAUCUGCUCCUGUGAUUUUACAGCCUCUUUCAGCAAAUGGGGAAAGCAGGUAGGGAAUGCAGAAAUAAAAUUUCUCCAGCUGAAACACUGACACAGCGCAAGCAUGUUCUGAAGAAAUGGCCUUUAUUGAUGUGCCCGGGCUGAAGUGGAACAAUUCCAGGUACGCCUUGUCUUGCCCUCGUGUCUUCCCUCUGGAUAAAAUCCAUAUGAAAAGAGAGCAUUUCCACUGAACUCUGGUUUCCUGGAAUCAUCCUGCAGCCCUUGAUCUUCCAGCUGAGUGAAAUGGAGGAAACUUAGCUCAGCGUGAGCUGCUCGCCAGGCCACUCAUGCUGGGAGUCCGUGAAGAAAAGGUAACACUUUCCUGUGAACGCAUUUAUCCUGUUAUUUGCUCACCUGCACAUUACUUGGGGAAGAUCUAGGAUUCCUAUACACACAUAAAGUGUUCAGAAAAUACAUUUUAAAAAGAAUUCUGUCUCGUCAAAAUGAAUCUCUUUCGAUUAAUUUUUCCCUCCCACAGUGCCCUGAGGUCUUCAAGUCGGUCUUGUUAGGUCUGUAUCAAAUGUUAACUCUCAGAGGAAAAACUUAUCAAGGCUAUCCUCACCACAAAUAUAUAUUUAUGAAUUCUCUUGUUCUCUGGAGCCAAAGCCACUGAGUUUAAACAUUUUUUCAACAAAUUAGCACUAGUGAGUCCUUGUCAGUAAUACUUAAUUUCUUCAGGGUCCAGUGUCCUAACCUACAAAAUGUUAAAUAAGGACGCUCAGCUCAUGGGCAUUUUGAGCACUUUGUUCCUAGCAAUUGCACGUGAGGAUUUAGCAGAUCUUUGAAUCCAUGUUCUGUGGGAUUCCUAUUACCUUGAAACCACUGUUUUAUUGACAAAACAAAGAAUCUUAAAAUUCUACAUGUGAUUUUACUUGUGGUAGAGACUCACAAAAGACGUGAAACACUUUGAGAUGAGGAACCAGAUCACUUUUAGAUAUGCAGUAUACGGAGAGAACAUUAAGAAUCAACUUUCUAGACUUCUGGUUCAUCUUUGUAUCAGGGAACCACUGCCAGGCCUCUCAGGCCUGCAUUCCACUAUGUGUCAAGAAACCCAGAUGAGUAAACUACUCCCUGACCCAGAAAAAAGUGGGAUAUAGUCACACUUGGCCAGCAAGCAAGGACUAUUUGACCUGUGCUGUCUGCCAAGUUGCAGCCUUAUACCAUUGCAGUUUCUCUCCUCCCAAAAUGGCAGGCAGCUUGGGGCACAGGUGCAGAAAAUCAUAUCACACUCAACAACCUCACCUGAUGUAUUUGGAUCUGCUUUCUUCCCGAGGAAUUCUCUGGGAAAGGUGUGGAGGGUGUCGGAGUUCAUCUGAGAACCUUUUGAAGAAGGAUCUCAAACUCAUUCUCGUUUGAACACCUUGUUAUCACCAUAGAGAAUCUUACUGUGUAAACCAUUUCCAGCUGCCUUUGGAGAAAGUACACGGUCCGUCCCGACAACUGUUCAUGGGUUACUGUAGCCUGUUAAUAGGGCUUGGGUUUCAUUACUACAAGAAAGCAACAGAGCCUCCGAGUUCCCCCCAGUUUGUGAAUUCAGUUCCUUUGAAGUCAGCUAAGAUCAUUCCUCCCACUUUUUUCCGUUUGUUUCUUUGCUUCUCUCUGAUCCCCACCCCCACCCCUCUCCCCGAAUCAUUUUUAAACAAUCAGGCACACAAGUGUCACCCUGGUAUCUGAAUUCAGAAUCUGGAAGGAUCUUUAUUCUGGGAAACACGUAGGCUGCGCAUUCCUGAAACGGAAUCAACAAAACCUGUGCGCUCCCAGGUGGGAAGAGGUAAUUGCAGGUGUAAAGCGGCGAUGGAGGGAGAACAGUUUUCUGCAUGUAAUAAGCAAGCUGCAGUCGAAGCUUCGGUGAGGCUCCUUGGACGUCUUUUCACUUGAAUUCAUUUGCAUUUCUUCAGCAUAAG